GAAACUGUAGUUUAUACUCAAAACAUUCGAUUUGCAAUUGGAAGAAAGAACAGUUUUA
rnacentral:tRNA from 1 species